rnacentral:tRNA from 1 species
UCAGAUUAAACUUAAAGUUAAGAUUUUCAUUUACACUGAAAAAUAUUUAUCGUGCAAUUCGAUGUAAUCUGAA